rnacentral:lncRNA from 1 species
CAGGGCAAAGUGAGGCAACCUCUGGGGGCCCUGCGCAGCCCCCCGGUUGGGUGUGGGGGGCUAAACUUGGGCCCCCGAAGUGAGAUCCCUGGCUGUGCUGACUGUGGGGGAGUCAUGGGGGGUGCCGGCCCCCACGUUCAUGAUUGGGGAUCCGAACGGAUAGAACCCUGUGGCAUCAGGUCAGUCCAACUCUCUGUUCCUCAACCUGAGAGCGGCCGGUAAAUGGAAAAGAGGAGGGGGGGGAAGGAUGGGAGAGAACCCUUCCCACCUAAUGCGUGUGUCUCCUUGUUGCUCCCUUUCCCAAAGCUGCAGUACCCGGCAAAGUCCUCAGGUGACUUGUGAGGCUCGUAUCCCUGCAACAGAGACUACUCCAGCUGCAGGAGUGAAUGUCGUUGUAGUGGUUGACGGAAACUGCAUCCUCCAGUAUACCCAUCGUCAGUCACCUUGCUCCUGCCUUUCGGAUGGGGAGCCUCUCUUGCCCCGGCGCCCUCCACCAACUUAUGGUGCUGUGCCCCCCAGCCCCACUCUCCCCCGUGGGCCGGCUUGCGGCCAAGAAGCUGGACCACCCCCGUCCCGCAGCAGGACCCGUGGACUCAGCGUCCGCUGUUGCACCAAAGCCUGCCUGGGCGAUGAAGAGGAACAUGCUGAACGGCACCUCCAUCGGGGGCCACCCUGCAGCCGUCUCACCCCAGUGCCCUUGCCCCGCAGCCCCUCUGGGCCGUGGUUUGGAGUGGGAUCUCUCAGUGGGGGCAGGCCAGGCGCUCGGGUGGUGAAGAUCUGGGACCAGCAGCGAUGCCCUUUGUUGGAGGAAGGGGAUGUCAUCGCCAAAGUGAAUGGGGCGGAUGUGCGCGAUCUGAGCCCCGGCGAAGUGGAGAGUGUCUUGCAGGAGCAUACGCGAACGGGAGAUGUGAUCCUUCUGGUGGAGAGGAAAGGUCACCACUCCCGAAGACAUCCCCAGGAAAACUGUUCUUUCAGACGGGAACACCUCGUGCCUGAUUCCUCUUACAAUAAAGGAGUUCCACAAGAUGCUCCUAACUCUUGGGGAGAUCCCCAAGGUGACACUUUAGCCGUGACCAGUUUUGUGGGCCCUGAACCCCGGGAUGUACUUGUCUGUCCUGCUCGUUGUUCCCAGAGGCUGAGGAGGCCCCGGCCAGCAGGAGGGGCUGGGGAGCCCAGAGGAAGCAUAGAUGGUCCCAAAGAAGAGCAAGGAGGCAGCCGUGGCAUCACCAUAGCAACGGAUGGUGGUGGUGCUGCUGGGAAAGCAGGUGAGGAGGUGGCGAAAGUGCAGAGGCUCAGGGAUGGGAAUAAACUGCCUGCUCCCCCCCCCAUUUUAAAUUUUGCACCGAGUCAUGAGCUUCAAAUGGAUUCUGUAUGUUUUAAGUAA